CAGUCAUGACUGGAACACAGGUAUGGAGGGGUAUGCGCUGUUUAGGAAAGACCGGGACAAAGGUAAAGGUGGGGGGGGUGGCAUUGUAUGUCAAUAGUGAAAUAAGCUGUAAGGAAAUAAUAGUGGAUGGAAUAGAUAACACAGAGUCCGUCUGGGCAAUACUCACACUGGGUAAAAAGACUACUAGAGCCUCUCCGGGGAUAGUGCUUGGGGUGUGCUAUAGACUGCCGGGAUCGACCCAGGAUAUGGAUAAGGAACUAUUUAAUGUAUUUAGGGAAGUAAAUACUAAUAGAAACUGUGUAAUUAUGGGGGACUUUAACUUCCCGGAUAUAGAUUGGGGAACAAACGCUAGUAGCAAUAAUAGGGCUCAGAUGUUCCUAGAUGUGCUUGCUGAUCAAUUCCUUCAUCAAGUGGUAGCUGAACCGACGAGGGGGGAGGCCAUUUUAGAUUUGAUUUUGGUAAGUAGUGAGGACCUCGUUGAGAAAGUGGUAGUAGGGGACAAUUUGGGCUCCAGUGAUCAUGAGCUAAUUCGGUUUAAACUAAAUGGAAGGAGUAACAGAAUUAAGUCAAAGACUAGGGUUUAUAAUUUUAAAAAGGCCAAUUUUAACAAAUUAAGGGGACUGGUAAGGGAAGUGGAUUGGGCAACCGUAUUAAUGGAUCUAAAGGCAGAAGAAGCCUGGGAUUACUUUAAGUUAAAGAUGCAUGAGCUGUCAGAGGCCUGUAUCCCCAAAAAGGGAAAAAGAUUACUAAGCAAGAGAUUUAGACCGAGCUGGAUGAGCGACCGACUCAAAGGGGCGAUUAGGAAAAAACAGAAAGCGUACAAAGAGUGGAAGAGGGGAGGGAUCAGUAAGGAAACUUACCUUAGUGAAGUCAGAGAAUGUAGAGAUAGAGUGAGAAAGGCCAAAGGCCGUGUAGAGUUGGACUUAGCAAGGGGAAUUAAAAGCAAUAGUAAAAGGUUUUACAGCCAUAUAAAUAGAAAGAAAGCAAAGAGAGAAGAAGUGGGACCGCUGAAGACUAUAGCCGGAGAGGAGAUUAAAGAUAAUCUAGGCAUGGCGCAAUAUCUCAAUGAAUAUUUUGCAUCGGUGUUUAAUGAGGCCAAUGAAGGUAUUAGGGAUACUAGCACCAUUNNNNNNNNNNNNNNNNNNNNNNNNNNNNNNNNNNNNNNNNNNNNNNNNNN
rnacentral:lncRNA from 1 species